GGAUUAGGUAGUUGGUGAGGUAAAGGCUCACCAAGGCGACGAUCUUUAGCUGGUCUGAGAGGAUGAUCAGCCACAUCGGGACUGAGACACGGCCCGAACUCCUACGGGAGGCAGCAGUGGGGAAUAUUGGACAAUGGGGGCAACCCUGAUCCAGCCAUGCCGCGUGUGUGAAGAAGGCUUUCGGGUUGUAAAGCACUUUCAGUGAGGAGGAAAAC
rnacentral:rRNA from 1 species